GACGAACGCUGGCGGCGUGCUUAACACAUGCAAGUCGAACGGAAAGGCCCUGCUUUUGUGGGGUGCUCGAGUGGCGAACGGGUGAGUAACACGUGAGUAACCUGCCCUUGACUUUGGGAUAACUUCAGGAAACUGGGGCUAAUACCGGAUAGGAGCUCCUGCUGCAUGGUGGGGGUUGGAAAGUUUCGGCGGUUGGGGAUGGACUCGCGGCUUAUCAGCUUGUUGGUGGGGUAGUGGCUUACCAAGGCUUUGACGGGUAGCCGGCCUGAGAGGGUGACCGGCCACAUUGGGACUGAGAUACGGCCCAGACUCCUAUGGGAGGCAGCAGUGGGGAAUAUUGCACAAUGGGCGGAAGCCUGAUGCAGCAACGCCGCGUGCGGGAUGACGGCCUUCGGGCUGUAAACCGCUUUCGCCUGUGACGAAGCGUGAGUGACGGUAAUGGGUAAAGAAGCACCGGCUAACUACGUG
rnacentral:rRNA from 1 species